CCUAUAAAUAUAAUCUUAUUUGGAAAUAGAGUUUUUGCAGACAUAAUAAAAUUAAAAUCAGGUCAUACUGGAUGACGGUGGACUGUAAUCCAAUAACUCUGUUCUUACAGGAAGAAAGAACAUUGGACACAGAAAGAAGACCAUCAUGUGAAGUCAGAAGCAGAAAUUGGUUUAUGCCACCAUAAACCAGGGAAUGCUGGGGAGUGCGAGCAACUGCAGAAGGCAGAAGAAACAAGGGAAGGUUCUUCACUAGAGAUUUUGGAGGGAGCAUGAUUCUGCUGACACCUUGAAUUUGGCUUGAAUACAUUCACCAGCUGAAAAACUAGAUAAAGGGGAGAGGUUUGAAUUCUCUGGAAUCUUCCUGCCUGCAGGGUUCAGCCCUGCCAAUGAUAAAUAGGAAUUUGUUCUUUGGGUGAUAACACUUUCUCUACUUUUAAGAGAGAGAAACCUUCUCUACUUUUGUGAGAAAAAAAAAAAUGCUAGAGAGUUCUUCCUUUCCUGGCAUGUGGUAAUAUUGUUGUCCACAAGGCAUUAGAGACUUAUAUUUGAGAUAGUGUCUAAAUAUUUAUAACUCCUCCUGGGGAUGAAUGUUUGACUUCCUAAUGAGGGGCCACUUGAGAGCUACCUUCCCUCAUUCCCAGCUUGUGAUGCCCAUUAGCCUAUAAGGGCAGCAGGCAAUUUGGGGAUUGGCUGUGAUAAGUAAUGGGAGUUGUAAAUGUUCCAUGUAAAUUCUCUCCCAGGGAAAAGCUCUGAACCAAGUGCUUUUAAAUUAGUUUUUGUUUUGUUUUUGGAGAAGGAGCUCCAGAGCUGAGGGGUGAUGGAGAAGCUGGAGUAGAGAUGAAAGCAAAUGUAGCGAUUUGUUAAGGAAACAGUGGUGACAGCCAACAUUGUGGAGUGGGGAGGAGGGUUAAGGGAUGCUGCAGCAACAGAAUUGGUUGGGUGUUAGAGAGCAAGAGAAUUACAAAUAAAGCUAACUUGUAAGCUGAGAAAAUCAGGAAAAUACUUGGGUCACUCACUGUGGUGGGGAAUUGGUAUUUGAGAUCAGGAAGGGCAAGGAAUGGGAGAUGAGCAUGAAGAUCUAUCAGACUCACUGGCUAAUAGAGCUUGAUAGCAUUCUCAAGGCCAUUGCCACUAGUUGCCCAUUUUAAAGAUGAGGAAACUGAGUCCCAGAAAGGUGAAGCUAACUCAUCCAAAGUUCCAUAGUUAGCAAAUGGCAGAGCCAAAUUCAGAAUCCAGGACUCCUAUCAUUGUCCCAUACUCUUUCCAAAUUAGAAAUCAAGAACCAGAAAAAGUGGGAGGGCUUAUCUAGAUUUUGUAGCAUUUCAUUUUACAGCUGGUUACACACAACUUCCUCAUAGGAGACGGUAUGGGACAGAGGUCACAAACUGAAAGCUUAUGGUUUGACCUCCACUCAUUUUUAAAUUAAUACUCUAACUUAUGUCUAACAUUGAAAGAUUAGGCAAGUUCCCAUACCAAUCUGGAUUUUUGGCUGCUCUGGGAAAAACCAGUUGUUUUGUCAGAGAUUUAGUAAGAGCCACCCUCCUUUCAAGAUGAGGCAUUGUCUAGUUUACCCUCAUCACCUUGGUUGGCUUCAUAUUAUCCACCUGAAUCCUCUAGACCCUGUUUUGCAAUCCCUGGGAGGGCAGAAGGAAAGCAGAGACCCUGAGCCCCAGACUGACAGUUGAGAUUGUAAAUGACAGGGGUGAAGGGAAGUGACCAAAGGAGCGCAGAACAAUGAGGAACUGAGCCCCGAGGCCACAGAAGCAAAAGGUCUUGUCCAGGAAUUCAGGGACAGUGUUUUCAUCUAUUUUUAGUUAAAGUAACAGGAUGUGGGAACCAAAAAAGUGGUCAAUUCUCUAAUACCGCACAAUGGUGAUGACUUAUGCAAAAUAUCCUCUUUCCUAUUUUUAACUAGUUACAGAAGCUGCGUCAGAGGACUUUGCUGCUGACUAAUCCUGUUGAGGCAUCUUUCUCUGAAUUGCAUAAAUGUCAUCUACACAGCCUAGAGAACAUUUGAGAAAAAGAAAAACUGUAAAGACUACUGCAUACGGGGCAUUCUUAUAAAUAGUGUUCUGAGUGGGAUCGGGGUGUUCUGGGCCACAGCUUUCCGGAAGUUGUCUAGGAUUUCAUGGUUGAAGAAUGUGGACAGAGAAAUCAUUCAUUUUGUAAGCUGAAUUAAUGAUCCCAUGAUUUUUUGCACUAUAAGAAACAGACUGGAGAGCUUCUGUUGUUCUUUAUGAUUCAUUGAUCAACCGUGAAAGAACAAACAAAUCAAAUGCUGAAACUUGGGUUACAGUCCCUUGGUGAUUCUCUCCAGGACACUGCUGUCUCCCAAAGAAUCAUAGGCCUAAAGAGAUGGCAGAGAUUUUAGAGAUUCUUCAGCUAAACGUCUUGAUCUUUAUACAUGAGAAAACUGAACUCAGAGAGGUGACAUGACUUAUAAAGUCAUCCAGCUAGCUGGUGGCAAAGAGAGAUUUUGAACCUUGUUUUUUCUGACCAAGUCCCCAUUGCAUCAUGUCCUGCACCAACUCAUGUAUUUCUAAAAAACUUUUCUGUAUUAUCAGAUGUUGAAGAAUAGCCGCAGGCCAUGUCCAGCUUGCCACUUGUUUUUGCAAAUAAAGUUUUAUUGGAACACA